AUGGGCGCCGACAAGGGGAGGACCUCGGUGCAGUUCGACGACUUCCUGCCGUCGAUGGCGAGGAAGCUCGGCGCGGAGGGGCUGAUCCAGGAGCUCUGCAAGGGGUUCCAGCUGCUCAUGGACCCCAGGGCCGGCAGGAUCACCUUCCAGAGCCUCAAGAGGAACGCGGCCAGGCUGGGGCUCGGCGAGCUCCGGGACGACGAGCUCCAGGAGAUGAUGAGGGAGGGGGACAUGGACGGGGACGGCGCCCUGGAUCAGACAGAGUUCUGCGUUCUCAUGGUCAGGCUCAGCCCUGAGCUCAUGGAGCAAGAGUCGCAUAGGAUGUUUGAAUGUUGA
rnacentral:rRNA from 1 species